CCUCCUUAAACGAUGCAUCAUCUCUCGCGGUAAGCGCUCACAAUGAAUUACCUGAUCAGAAUGCUGUUGAUACGCAGUGAUAAGCGUUUUCUUCACAUUAAAAAAAGAAAAAAGGUCUUUCUUUUUCUUUUGAAGUGAAAAAAGCAUCCGCUUAUCACUGCGCAUAGCAGUCGCUCUUUAACAAUGUAUAUCAUGCUGACAUGAACGUUUUAUAACGUUCAUACGUAAUUGUUAAGUGAUACGUCUCAAGCGUAUCCGGCAAUCGUUAUCAUUGCGAGAGUCCAGACCCCUUCGGGUUAUAGGGUCAAGCAAUGAAGCGCACACGGUGGAUGCA
rnacentral:misc_RNA from 1 species